CGGCGUGGACUUCGAAGCCUGGGGAGCUGGGGCCUCCCGGGUCCGGCCGCAGGUGGCAGGAGGCGAGAGGUCACGCUCCCCUCGGGCCCGGUGCCAACUGCUCAACAUCCCCACAUGGCCCGGGGUGAGGGCUGCGCUGGGGCCGCUCGGUACCAAAUUCCCACGAAACGGAUCCAACUUACAAAGGUCGGAGAAUGCGGCCUAACGCGCGCCCCCGACUCACCUUUGCCCGAAUUCCACUUGUUCUGAGGACCGGAAUGAGGAAACCAUGAGAGAAGAAUAAACACCAGCAGGAGCACUGCACCCUGCUCUCUCCCGGCAGCACUUGGCACAGGAUUCCAGAACCUCCUUAGGUUGUCAAACGCUGCAAGGAAAACCCCUGCAGAUUUCGAUUUAUAAGUCCUCGCUGUACGCUCUGAAAAGAAUAUGUAUUCUUCGAGAAACACAAAGGCAGUAUUUGAAACGCACGGCUAACCAGAAAGAAAGCCUAUUGUUUCUCCUUCAAAGGAAAGAAGCCUCAGUAAUAGUGAAAGGGCCCUAGUGCCAUACAGUUAAACAGAAAUACACUCAUAGUGGCAGUACACGGAAAUGCCAAAAAGCAAAACCUGCCUUAACGCCAUCAAGUUCCUUUCAUGAAAUGUGCACUUUUAAAAAAUUUGUAAACAAAUAGAUGGGUGAGAAAAGAGGAAAUGAAAUUUCUUCUUUUAUGGAGUUAUUCUUUUGGUUUCUAAUCUUCUCAUGAAAUGAAAUGGAUUUCAAUAUGUGUGAGCCCAAAAAUACGUUAAUGGACUUUACCUGCAUUAAGCCUCUCAGGCUAAUAGUCUUGAUUAGGAUAAAAACAUAAAAUAAUAACAUCAUGAAAAGAAAGUCAGUUAUGAUUUCCCGUCUCAGUUAAGAAAACUAUCCUGUCAUCAUAACUUGGUGAAUAUAAUAUGGAAUUGAGCCAGCAUAUUUUAAUAUGUUCUUCUGUGCCAUCAGUGUUUAGAAUGACUGAGUAAAUGUAAUUUCUGCAACAGGGAGUUAAAGCCAUGGGCUGAUUAGUGUCUACCCUGGGCCUGACGCAGGAACUCCAUCAUGUUGGAGUGGGUGCUGGGUUACCUGGUGUGAUGGUAUCUGUACCUAGAAAAGCCCAGGCAAGUCCUUGAUAUCAGAGUUUGAGCCAGUCAUGGAGUAGUUUUCACUACACUAACCUUUGACACACACAAACAUUUAUACUUUGGACAAAUAUUAAAUAUUAUCUAAAGGUAAUGGAGAGUGACCAAAGCAUGCAGAAACUGGAGGGGAGUUCACUCUGGUGAGAAGGGAAUCAUAGUCUUAACUCUUUUCAGCUUAGGACAGACCCCCAGGCAGUGCCACUGAGAGCAAUGAAAACUCAUGGAAACCUCAAGUGUUACUAGCGGAGGAAUCGGAGGACAGAGUGACCAAAGAACCUGGAAAGGGAGGAGGAAUUGCUGAAAAGGGGAGACCUAGAGGGCGGCCACACUGCCCCAAUCUCCGGCUGAUCUCUGAACCCCACAGCCUUGGGGCAGACUCCAAGCAGCUCGGCCUAAACAGAGAGCUGCGUAGAGAUUUCCUUUUGCCCACCGUAGGGGAGACAGGAUUUAGAGCGUGAGCUCAACCAAGUUAACUGCCUGUUACACAAACAAACAAUUAUUCAGAGGAACAAAACAGAGUCCACUGGCAAUAUAAUCCAUUAUUUAUAAUGUCCAGAAUACAAUCUAAUUACCAGACAUAUGAAGAAACAUACUCAAAAGAAAAGGCAAUCAGUGGAGAACAAUCCCCAGAUGACCCGGAUGUUGGAGUUCGUGGACAAGGAUUUAAAAAUUCUCUUUAUUGUUGGAAGUUAUACAGAUGCACUCUUGUCCCUCCAUUGACACCUUUUGGCCUGCUCCCCACUCCCUCCUCCCCCGGACCCAGGCCUUUAUCACACUAUGUGUCAUGGAUUAUGCCAUAUAAACUUAAGUCAUAUAAAUUCUUUGGCUAAUCUCUUCCCAUCCACCCCCCCACCCCCCCACCCCCCCACCAACCACCACAAUCCCUCUGAGAUUCAUCUGUCUAUUCCAUGCUUCUGUGUCUCUGGAUCUAUUUUGUUCAUCAGUUCAUUUGUCCUUUAGAUUCCACAUAUGAGUGAGAUCAUGUGAUACUUGUCUUUUUCUUUGGUUAGUGCUUUUAUUGUAGAUAACCUUUUAAAUAAUUAUAGUUGACAUACAAUAUUUCAUUAGUUUCAGGUGUACAGCAUAGUGAUUCUAUUAUUUUUAUACAUUACAAAAUGACCACCAUGAUGUGCAGUUACCAUGUCACCAUAUGAAGUUAUUAUAUUAUUGACUAUAUUCCUUCUACUGUACAUUACAUCCUUGUGACUUAUUUAUAACUGGAAUUUUGUACCUUUUAUUACCCUUCACCCAUUUCACCUGUCCUCCCUCCCCUGUUCCCUCUGGCAACCACCAGCCUGUUCUCUGUAUCUAUGAUCUGUUUGCUUUGUGUUUUAGAUACCACAUGUAAGUGAAAUCAUGCGAUAUUUGUCUUUCUCUGUA